UGUACAAAAGUUAUGUUUUAAAGCCACAAUGAGAGUAAAUGAAAUGCACGUGUCACUUUGCCAGAUGACAUGUGCCUUAGAAUAUUCACAUCACAAUAGUCUUUCAGCCUGACAACUACAGAAUCCUCAGACCUCAGUAGUUUUCUAGCCACUGUAGUCACCAGUUUGGUGUCUAGAGGCAGGAAUGCAAACGAAAAUUUCACAUUGUUUGAUAAGUUCUUCAUCGCAGGCUCUACUAAAAAGGUGGAGCUCUGCAUCAGGAGAAUUUUUUUUUCUCCAAUAUGGACACGACUAAGGAGGAAGAUGUAGGAGAAGAAAAUCGAACUGUGGUUUGCCAAGGUGCUGCGGUUAUCCGAAGAGGCUGGAAAAGAAAGAAACGAUAUCUGACCUUGUUCAAUGACAUUUUGGUGGUAUCCAGUAAACUAUCCAUUCGUGAAGCCAAGAAACACAACAAAAUGGAACUUCCCAUGCGGAUAUUCACUGAGAACAUUGCAGGCUGUGACACUCCUCUGUAUGUAACAGCAACAAACUUUGAUAUGGUGAAUGACAUAAUCAGCAAGUUACUACCAAUGAUAAGAAAGCAUGUAAUUUACUUUCAAUCGAUUUUGAGUUAAAAUUGAAUUUUGCUUUUGAGAUUCACAUAUGUGGAAAUGUGUAAAUACAGAUGAAAUUUGAUCAUGAUACAUUUACAAAUCAUAUUUUACAAAUGGGUACUUUUUUAUUUUAUUUGUUAGGUAUAAAUUUCUUUCUUUCUUUUUUUUUUAUUAACUUGAAUAUUUGUUAUUUACAUUUCGAGUGUUAUUCCCUUUCCCGGUUUAUGGGCCAACAUCCCCCUAACCCCUCCACCUCCCCUUCUUUAUGGGUGUUCCCCUCCCCAUCCUCCCCCCAUUGCCGCCCUCCCCCUAACAAUCACAUUCACUAGAGGUUCAGUCUUAGCAGGACCCAGGGCUUCCCCUUACACUGGUGAUCUUACUAGGAUAUUGAAUGCUACCUAUGAGGUCAGAGUCCAGGGUCAGUCCAUGUAUAGUCUUUAGGUAGUGGCUUAGGCCCUGGAAGCUCUGGUUGCUUGGCAUUGUUGUUCAUAACGGGUCUCGAGCCCCUUCAAGCUCUUGCAGUUCUUUCUCUGAUUCCUUCAACGGGGGUCCUAUUCUCAGUUCAGUGGUUUGCUGCUGGCAUUCGCCUCUGUAUUUGCUGUAUUCUGGCUGUGUCUCUCAGGAGAGAUCUACAUCUGGCUCCUCUCUGCCUGCAUUUCUUUGCUUCAUCCAUCUUGUCUAAUUGAGUGGCUGAAUAUGUAUGGGCCACAUGUGGGGCAGGCUCUGAAUGGGUGUUUCUUCUGCGUCUGUUCUAAACUUUGCUUCCCUAUUCCCUCCCAAGGGUAUUCUUGUUCCCCUUUUAAAGAAGAAGUGAAACAUUCACAUUUUGAUCAUCUGUCUUGAGUUUCAUGUGUUCUAGGCAUCUAGGGUAACUCAAGCAUUUGGGCUAAUAGCCACUUAUCAAUGAGUGCAUACCAUGUGUGUUUUUCUGUGAUUGGGUUACCUCACUCAGGAUGAUAUUUUCCAGUUCCAACCAUUUGCCUACGAAUUUCAUAAAGUCAUUGUUUUUGAUAGCUGAGUAAUAUUCUAUUGUGUAGAUGUACCACAUUUUCUGUAUCCAUUCCUCUGUUGAAGGGCAUCUGGGUUCUUUCCAGCUUCUGGCUAUUAUAAACAAGACUGCGAUGAACAUAGUGGAGCACGCGUCUUUUUUAUAUGUUGGGGCAUCUUUUGGGUAUAUGCCCAAGAGAGGUAUAGCUGGAUCCUCAGGCAGUUCAAUGUCCAAUUUUCUGAGGAACCUCCAGAUUGAUUUCCAGAAUGGUUGUACCAGUCUGCAAUCCCACCAAUGAUUGGAAGAGUGUUCCUCGUUCUCCACAUCCUUGCCAGCAUUUGCUGUCACCUGAGUUUUUUAUCUUGGCCAUUCUCACUGGUGUGAGGUGAAAUCUCAGGGUUGUUUUGAUUUGCAUUUCCCUUAUGACUAAAGAUGUUGAACAUUUCUUUGGGUGUUUCUCAGCCAUUCGGCAUUCCUCAGCUGUGAAUUCUUUGUUUAGCUCUGAACCCCAUUUUUUAAUAAGGUUAUUUGUCUCCCUGUGGUCUAACUUCUUCAGUUCUUUGUACAUUUUGGGUAUAAGGCCUCUAUCUGUUGUAGGAUUGGUAAAGAUCUUUUCCCAAUCUGUUGGUUGCCAUUUUGUCCUAACCACAGUGUCCUUUGCCUUACAGAACCUUGGCAGUUUUAUGAGAUCCCAUGUGUCGAUUCUUGAUCUUAGAGCAUAAGCCAUUGGUGUUUUGUUCAGGAAAUUUUUUCCAGCGCCUAUGUGUUGGAGAUACUGCCCUAGUUUUUCUUCUAUUAGUCUGAGUGUAUCUGGUUUGAUGUGGAGGUCCUUGAUCCACUUGGACUUAAGCUUUGUACAGGGUGAUAAGCAUGGAUCCAUGUGCAUUCUUCUACAUGUUGACCUCCAGUUGAACCAGCACCAUUUGCUGAAAAUGCUAUCUUUUUUCCAUUGGAUGGUUUUGGCUCCUUUCUCAAAAAUCAAGUGCCAAUAGGUGUGUGGGUUCAUUUCUGGGUCUUCAAUUCUGUUCCAUUGGUCUAUCUGUAGCAAUACCAUGCAGUUUUUAUCACUAUUGCUCUGUAAUACUGCUUGAGUUCAGGGAUAGUGAUUCCCCCUGAAGUCCUUUUAUUGUUGAGGAUAGUUUUAGCUAUCCUGGGUUUUUUGUUAUUCCAGAUGAAUGUGCAAAUUGUUCUGUCUAACUCUUUGAAGAAAUGGAUUGGUAUUUUGAUGGGGAUUGCAUUGAAUCUGUAGAUCGCUUUUGGUAAAAUGGCCAUUUUUACUAUAUUAAUCCUGCCGAUCCAUGAGCAUGGGAGAUCUUUCCAUCUUCUGAGGUCUUCUUCAAUUUCUUUCUUCAGAGUCUUGAAGUUCUUAUUGUACAGAUCUUUUACUUGCUUGGUUAAAGUCACACCAAGGUACUUUAUAUUAUUUGGGUCUAUUAUGAAGUGUGUCGUUUCCGUAAUUUCUUUCUCGGCUUGUUUCUCUUUUGUGUAGAGGAAGGCUACUGAUUCAUUUGAGUUAAUUUUAUACCCGGCCACUUUGCUGAAGUUGUUUAUCAGCUUUUGUAGUUCUCUGGUGGAACUUUGGGAUCACUUAAAUAUACUAUCAUAUCAUCUGCAAAUAGUGAUAUUUUGACCUCUUCUUUUCCGAUCUGUAUCGUCUUGAUCUCCUUUUGUUGUCUGAUUGCUCUGGCUAGAACUUUAAGAGCUAUAUUGAAUAAGUAGGGAGAGAGUGGGCAGCCUUGUCUAGUCCCUGAUUUUAGUGGGAUUGCUUCAAGUUUCUCUCCAUUUAGUUUAAUGUUAGCAACUGGUUUGUUGUAUAUGGCUUUUACUAUGUUUAGAAAUGGGCCCUGAAUUCCUAUUCUUUCCAGGACUUUUAUCAUGACGGGGUGUUGAAUUUUGUCAAAUGCUUUCUCAACAUCUAAUGAAAUGAUCAUGUGGUUUUGUUCUUUAAGUUUGUUUCUACAAUGGAUCAUGUUGAUGGUUUUCCAUAUAUUAAAACCAUCCCUGCAUGCCUGGGAUGAAGCCUACUUGAUCAUGGUGGAUGAUUGUUUUGAUGUGCUCUUGGAUUCGGUUUGCCAGAAUUUUAUUGAGUAUUUUUGCAUUGAUAUUCAUAAGGGAAAUUGGUCUGAAGUUCUCUUUCUUUGUUGGGUCUUUGUGUGGUUUAGGUAUAAGAGUAAUUGUGGCUUCAUAGAAGGAAUUCGGUAGUGCUCCAUCUGUUUCAAUUUUGUGGAAUAGUUUGGAUAGUAUUGGUAUGAGGUCUUCUAUGAAGGUCUGAUAGAAUUCUACACUAAACCCGUCUGGACCUUGGCUCUUGUUGGUUGGGAGACCUUUAAUGACUGCUUCUAUUUCCUUAGGAGUUAUGGGGUUGUUUAACUGGUUUAUCUAUUCCUGAUUUAACUUUGGUACCUGGUAUCUGUCUAGGAAAUUGUCCAUUUCCUGCAGAUUUUCAAGUUUUGUUUAAUAUAGGCUUUUAUAGUAAGAUCUGAUGGUUUUUUGAAUUUCCACUGAAUCUGUAGUUAUGUCUCCCUUUUCAUUUCUGAUUUUGUUAAUUUGGACACACUCUCUGUGUCCUCUCCUGAGUCUGGCUAAGGGUUUAUGUAUCUUGUUGAUUUUCUCAAAGAACCAUCUUUUCAUUCUGUUGAUUCUUUCUAUUGUUCUUUUUGUUUCUACUUGGUUGAUUUCAGCUCUGAGUUUCAUUAUUUCCUGCCUUCUACUCCUCCUGGGUGUAUUUGCUUCUUUUUGUUCUAGAGCUUUUAGGUGUGCUGUCAAGCUGGUGACAUAUGAUCUUUCCUGUUUCUUUCUGCAGGUACUCAGAGCUAUGAGUUUUCCUCUUAGCACAGCUUUCAUUGUGUCCCAUAAGUUUGGGUAUGUUGUACCUUCAUUUUCAUUAAAUUCUAAAAAAGUCUUUAAUUUAUUUCUUUAUUUCUUCCUUGACCAGGUUAUCGUUGAGUAGAGUAUUGUUCAGCUUCCACAUAUACGUGGGCGUUCUUCCCUUAUUGUUAUUGAAGACCAGCUUUAGGCCGUGGUGGUCUGAUAGCACGCAUGGGAUUAUUUCUAUCUUUCUGUACCUGUUGAGGCCCGUUUUUUGACCAAUUAUAUGGUCAAUUUUGCAGAAAGUUCCAUGAGGAGCUGAGAAGAAGGUAUAUCCUUUUGCUUUAGGAUAGACUGUUCUAUAAAUAUCCGUUAAGUCUAUUUGGUUCAUGACUUCUCUUAGUCUGUCUACGUCUCUGUUUAAUUACUGUCUCCAUGAUCUGUCCAUUGAUGAGAGUGGGGUGUUGAAAUCUCCUACUUUAUUGUGUGAGGUGCAAUGUGUGUUUUGAGCUUUAGUAAGGUUUCUUUUACAUAUGUAGGUGCCCUUGUUUUUGGGGUAUAAAUAUUUAGGAUUGGGAGUUCAUCUUGGUGGAUUUUUCCUUUGAUGAAUAUGAAGUGUCCUUCCUUAUCUUUAUUGAUGACUUUUAGUUGAAAAUUGAUUUUAUUUGAUAUUAGAAUGGCUACUCCAGCUUGCUUCUUCCGACCAUUUGCUUGGAAAGUUGUUUUGCAGCCUUUCACUCUGAGGUAGUGUCUGUCUUUGUCUCUGAGGUGUGUUUCCUGUAGGCAGCAGAAUGCAGGGCCCUUGUUGCAUAUACAGUUUGUUAAUCUAUGUCUUUUUAUUGGGGAGUUUAGGCCAUUGAUGUUGAGACAUAAUAAGGAAUCGUGAUUAUUGCUUCCUGUUAUAUUCAUAUUUGGAUAUGAGGUUAUGUUUGUGUGCUUUUCUUCUCUUUGUUUUGUUGCCAAGAUGAUUAGUUUCUUGCUUCUUCUUGGGUAUAACUUGCCUCCUUAUGUUGGACUUUACCGUUUAUUAUCUUUUGAAGUGCUGGAUUUGUAGAAAGAUAUUGUGUAAAUUUGGUUUUGUCAUGGAAUAUCUUGGUUUCUCCAUCUAUGUUAGUUGAGAGUUUUGCAGGAUACAGUAACCUGGGCUGGCUUUUGUGUUCUCUUAGGGUCUUUAUGACAUCUGUCCAGGAUCUUCUGGCUUUCAUAGUCUCUGGCGAAAAGUCUGGUAUGAUUCUGAUAGGUCUGCCUUUAUACGUUACUUGAACUUUUUCCCUUACUGCUUUUAAUAUUCUUUCUUUAUUUUGUGCAUUUGGUGUUUUGACUAUUAUGUGACAGGAGGAGUUUCUUUUCUGGUCCAAUCUAUUUGGAGUUCUGUAGGCUUCUUGUAUGCUUAUGCGUAUCUCUUUCUUUAGGUUAGGGAAGUUUUCUUUUAUGAUUUUUGUUGAAGAUAUUUACUGGUUCUUUGAGCUGGGAGUCUUCAUUCUCUUCUAUACGUAUUAUCCUUAGGUUUGAUCUUCUCAUUGAGUCCUAGAUUUCCUGUAUGUUUUGGACCCGUAGCUUUUUCCUCUUUACAUUAUCUUUGACAGUUGAGUCGAUGAUUUCUAUGGAAUCUUCUGCUCUUGAAAUUCUCUGUUCUAUCUCUUGCAUUCUGUUGGUGAAGCUUGUAUCUAAGGCUCCUUGUCUCUUCUUUUGGUUUUCUAUAUCCAGGGUUGUUUCCAUUGUUCUUUCUUGAUUGCUUCUAUUUGCAUUUUUAAUUCCUUCAACUGUUUGAUUGUGUUUUUCUGGAAUUCUUUCAGGGAUUUUUGUGAUUCCUCUCUGUAGGCUUCUACUUGUUUAUUUAUAUUUUCCUGUCUUUCUCUAAGGGAGUUCUUCACAUCUUUCUUGAAGUCCUCCAGCAUCAUGAUCAAAUAUAUUUCUGAAACUAGAUCUUGCUUUUCUUGUGUGUUUGGAUAUUCCUUGUUUGCUUUGGUGGGAGAAUUGGGCUCCGAUGAUGCCAUGUAGUCUUAGUUUCUGUUGCUUGGAUUCCUGCGUUUGCCUCUCGCCAUCAGAUUAUCUCUAGUGUUACUUUGUUCUUCUAUUUCUGACAGUGGCUAGACUGUCCUAUAAGCCUGUGUGUCAGGGGUGCUGUAGACCUGUUUUCCUGUUUUCUUUCAGCCAGUUAUGGGAACAUAGUGUUCUGCUUUCGGGUGUGAAGUUUUUCCUAUCUACAGGUCUUCAGCUGUUCCUGUGGUCCUGUGUCCUGAGUUCACUAGUCAGGUCGCUUGGAGUAGGAGGGCUUGUCUUACCUAUGGUCCCGAGGUUCAAGUUUGCUCGUGGGGUGUUGCUUAUGAGCUCUCUGUGGGGGUAGCAACCAGGAAGGUCAGUGCACCAGGGUUCCAGAUGGUGUUUGGUGUUUUCCUCUGGAAUCAGUAAUGUGGGCAGAGUGUAGUCUCUUCUGGUUUCCCAGGCAUGUCUGCCUCUCUGAAGGUUUAGCUCUCCCUCCCACGGGAUUUGGGUGCAGAGAACUGUUUAUCUGGUUGGUCCCUUCAGGUUCUGGCGGUGUCUCAGAUGCAGGGGGCCUGCUGCUGCUGUGCCCUUAUCCAAGGGAACCCAGAGGCCAUAUACAGUUUCCUCUUGGGCCAGGGAUGUGGGCAGGUAUGAGCAGUGUUGGUGGUCUCUUCAGCUCUCUAGUCUCAGGAGUGCCCACCUGUCCAGUCGCUGAGGUCUCUCUUCCACUGGGUUUGGGAGCAGCGAGCUGCUGCAGGCAGGGAUCCGGGGGUUUGGGAAUCCCGCUAAAACCAAAUGGCUCCUUUUUGAUCAGAAGUUAUUGAAGACAUAAUAAUAGUCCUUUGAGUGACAGUUUUUCUUGAAUUCAUGUCUAGUUUUAUGUGAAAUGAAAGUCAUAGCCCAAUGGUUUGAGCUGUAUGUGUGGUUUCACUAGAUAAUACAUAUCCACUGUAAUAAAUUGUGAUUAAUUUGUCAUUUGCUCACACCUAAUUUAAAGGAUGCCAAUGUUAGAGGGAAUAUUUUUCUUUUUUUUUUUUUAAUUAGACUAUACUGCCUAUUUGGUAUGUAAUUCUGUAGUCUUUCCCAUUCUUGUUUUUAUUUCUCUUGUGUGGAUGUGUAAGUGUACAUGUUCUAGUGUAUUUAUUUUUAACUUUUAAUAAAUCUUUAAUGAAUGAGUCUACAUUUCUAUGUCUUUUCUGCAUACAUAUCUGUGUAUAUAUUGUCUUUCUAUUUUUAAAUCGCAUGUGUAUCUCUUUGUAACUGUGUGUGUGUGUGUUUCUCUGUGUGUAUGCAUCCCUGUCUAUCACUUUCUGUGAGUUUGUACAAUGAGAAUCCACAAGUCAGUCUGCCUCUCUAACUUUAUGCCCCUCUACCUCUGUCUGCCUCUCUCUCUCACUCUCUUUCUCUUUCUGUUUCAUUAUCACCUCUACAUGUAUGUUUGUGUGUAAAUGGGUAUUUGGUGGUGUGUCUGCUUGAGUGCUUUUUGUCUGCUAGUUUAACACUGAAAAACUCUGUGGGACAAUGACAUUGGUUUUAAAUAGGAGUCUACAAGAAAAUAAAAUUAAUAAUAAUUCCAGUUAGAGCCACUCCUGGAGGGUGGGCAAUAUUUCAACAGAAUGUUCUAUUUAGAUGAUCAUUUCAAAUGGAUCCAUAACACUGUGUGCAGUAAUUAUGUUCUAGAACUUCUUUUCAGAACAUUUUUGUCCUGCAUUUCUUUUAGACAGGAGCAAUUUGGGGUUGAAAGUUUUGUAGGUGUGUUAGUGUCCCUAUCCAUCUACAGGUGUCCUGUCUGAUUUAAAAAGGUGGUCUCUUCAAAUUUUACAUCUGUGUGAUUUUGUGUUUGGGCAAGAUUUCCUACCUGGACUCUUUUUUUUUUUGGUGUUUUUUUUUUAAUUUUUUUUAUUAACUUGAGUAUUUCUUAUUUACAUUUCGAAUGUUAUUCCCUUUCCCGGUUUCCGGGCAAACAUCCCCCUAGUCCCUCCCCCUCCCCUUCUUCAGGGGUGUUCCCCUCCCCACUCUCCCCCCAUUGCCGCCCUCCCCCCAACAAUCACAUUAACUCCUACCUUGACUCUUGGGAGCACCCCUAUCCCACGACUCUGGGAUAUUCUAGAGGUUCCCACCAACCCCGAGAGCUGUAUAUUUCCAUUCAUUCUCUUGGGUUCCUUGUCCUCUCUCAUGUUUCUCCCAUACCUGAUCCUGACCUGUUCUCUUCCCAUCCCACUCUCACACAUAUCUCUCCUUCCCUCUGCCUCCCAUGGUUAUUUAUUUCCCUUUGCUAAGUGGGAUUGAAGCAUCCUUACUUAGGCUUUCCUUAUGGUUUAACUUUUAGUGUCAUGGAUAUUCUGUAUAUUUUGUGUAGUGUCACUGAUUAAUGAAUAUAUACUAUUCAUGUCCUUUGGAGUCUGGGUUAGCUCACUCAGAAUAUUUUCUAGAUCCAUGCAAUUGCCUGCAAAUUUCACAAUGUCGUUUGUUUUUAGUAGCUGAAUAGUAUUCCGUUGUGUAAAUAAACCAUAUUUUCUGUAUCCAUUCUUUGGUUGAAGAACAUCAGGGUUGCUUAUAACAAAUAAGGCUGCUAUUAACAUAGUGGAGCUUGCGUCUUUGUGGUACUGUGGAGCAUCUUUUGGCUAUAUGCCCAGGACCAGUAUAUCAGCGUCUUCAGGUACAACUAUUUCCUGUUUGCUGAGGAACAGCCAGAUUGAUUUCCAGAGUGGUGGUAGUUUGCCAUCCCACCAGCAAUGGAGGAGCAUUCCCGUUUCUCAACAAUCUCACCAGCAAGUUCUGUAGUUCUGUUUCUCUUUUGAGAACAGUUUAAGGAGUUUUGGUAUUAGCUCUUAUUUGAAAGUCUGGUAGAAUUAGGCACUGAAUUAUGCAUCAUGCCCUAGUCUUUUUGUUACUGUUAUUGUUGUUGGUUGUUUUUAAUGAAUUCUUCUAGUUCCUUAGGAGUUAUGGGAUUGAUUAGUUUAUCUGAUCUUGAUUUAACUUUGGUAUGUGGUAUCUGUCUAGAAAAUCAUUCAUUUCAUAUAGAUUUUCAAAGCUUUGUCAAGUUAGUCUUUUGUAGUAAAACCUGAUGAUUUUUUUAAUUUCUUCAAUUUCCAUUAUGUCUCUCUUUUCAUUUCUGAUUUUGUUAAUUUGCAUACUAUUUCUGAGACUUUUAGUUAGUUCAGGUUUAUGUGUCUUGUUGAUUUUCCAAAAGAACAGGAUCUUGGUUUUAUGGAUUCUGUUUCUAAUUGAUUUCAGACUUAAUAUUAUUUCCUGUUGUCUGCUUCUCUUUAGUGUAUUUUCUUAUUUUUGAUCUGGGUUUUUCAUUGUGCUUUUAAGUUGCUAGUAUAGGAUAUCACAAUUAUCUUUGUGAAGACAAUUAGUGCUCAUAUUUUAUUUUAUGUAUACAGUGUGAAAUAUUUAAAUUGCUUAAUAUGAAGCUAGAGGAGUGAAGUAGGAUUCUUUUUUUUUCUUUUCUUUUCUUUUUCUUUUUUUUUUUUUUUUUUUUUUUGGAGCUGGGGACCGAACCCCAGGCCUUGUGCUUGCUAGGCAAGCACUCUACCACUGAGCUAAAUCCCCAACCCCGGUGAAGUAGGAUUCUUAUGAUGUAAAAAUAUUAUUGGUAUUAAUACUCCAACAGGCCUGUCUUAAAAGGGUUAGAGAAGAAUACAGCAAAAGUCCCCCUACACAGUGCAUUCUUAGGUCUAUAUUCUCUAAACAAAGUGAUACACUGAAAAUUUUCUCCUCAUUAUUUUUAUAGUUCUCAGCUUAAUUUAUUAUACUAUCCCUGUAAGGGUUCUUAUGUACUAGUAUGUACAGUCUACAUUAUCCUGAAAAAGGAGAAGGAGGAGGAGGAGGAGGGGAUGCGGAAGGGGAGGGAAGGAGGAGGGGAAGGAGGAGAAAGAGGUGGAGUGGGAGGAGGAGGACAAGGAGAAGAAAUGCAGCAAAGCAUUCU